rfam:Necator americanus N_americanus-1.0_Cont117.67, whole genome shotgun sequence.
AUCUCUGGCUCCUCUGCAUUUAACCGAGAAAAUCUUUCGCCUUUUACUAAAGAUUUCCGUGCAAAGGUGCAUCUUAUGAGUAUUAACCAAUUUUUGGAAUCCUCUCGAAAAACGGGAU